AUGUUUUGCUACCUUUGUAGAUCUGCGUUGUACUCCUUGACCGGCUAUGGCUUUUAUGAAGUCAGACUCAUUUCAAGCCUUCCGUCUAAAACAGAACUUAGACAGCUUUGGCACUCUGAACUGCUGAUCAAGAUGCCAGCACUGAGAAUGAAGAGGAAGUUUGAUGAUGACAUUUUCGCGAAUGAGUUUGACACCAAAUCCAUGAAAUCGAUGAAAAUCUUGAAUUUUCAAGUUGAUGAGUUCGAGCAGGCAUUUGUGUUGAACUCGUCUUACAAGGACCGUCAGGAUGAGCCUGAGUCGACAACUCAACUAGCUGGCCAGGAUAUUAGGGUUACAGAAUUUUCUGGCUUGCAUGCUGUACUUGGAGGAACAUCCGUUGCUCUGCUGAAGGAUUUAAUAUCUGAAACUGUUGUUCCACCAAAUUUGGAGCCUGAUUCCUUAUCUAAUAAUGAUGACGGCAAAUCUCAGUCAAAUGUAGUGAACACCGGUGAUAAAGAGUUUGCAGAUGAAGAUGUAAAUUCUGCAGCACAGGAUAUCUGUGCUGUCAAUAAUCAUGAGAAAAGCCUGGGCUCAAACCUGGAUUGCAGCCUGUUGGAUAUUUAUAAUCCUGAUGAUGCUUUUCCUUUCUUAUUUGAUGUUCCAACUGGUCUCCUGGCUAGUUACAGUACAUUUUGUGAUGAAUUUGUACCCAUUGAUUCAUUGAUAGACAUGAGUGGCAUAUGCGGAGUAUUUCCACUUAAUGAAAGCACCGUGGAAGGUGGCAUUGGCAAUGAACCAUGCCCAUCACCAGGGGAUAUGUGCUUUAAUAACUCUGGUGGGGAGUGCUUUAGCCAUUCUGAGGUUUUAGACUGGCUUAAUCCAUAUAUGGAUGAGGAGGAUUUACCUAAUCUUAUUGAUUAUACCGAGUUGAGCUCAAAUGCUGCUUGUGUAUCUAAAGAGCAAGGGGCCAGGAAGGUCACUCUUGUGCUUGAUUUGGAUGAAACCCUUGUUCAUUCAACUAUGGAGCACUGUGAUGAUGCAGAUUUUUCUUUUCCAGUGUCCUUUGGUAUGAAAGAACAUCUGGUAUAUGUGAGGAAGAGACCACAUUUGCAUAUGUUCCUCCAGAAGAUGGCUGAGAUGUUUGAUGUUGUUAUAUUCACAGCAAGCCAAAGUGUUUAUGCAGACCAGCUGCUUGACAGGCUCGAUCCAGAGAACACAUUGUUCUCGAAGCGUUUUUUCCGUGAGUCAUGUGUAUUUACGGAAAGUGGCUACACAAAAGAUCUGACUGUUAUUGGAGUUGACCUUGCAAAGGUUGCCAUAAUUGACAACACUCCGCAGGUUUUCCAGUUGCAAGUGAAUAAUGGUAUACCCAUAGAGAGCUGGUAUAACAACCCCUUUGAUGAGGGGUUACCUCAGCUGAUUCCAUUCCUGGAGACGCUUGCUGUUGCUGAUGACGUCCGACCCAUAAUUGCCAAGAGGUUUGGCAACUAA
rnacentral:rRNA from 1 species